rnacentral:rRNA from 1 species
GUGGGGAAUCUUGCGCAAUGGGCGAAAGCCUGACGCAGCCAUGCCGCGUGAAUGAUGAAGGUCUUAGGAUUGUAAAAUUCUUUCACCGGGGACGAUAAUGACGGUACCCGGAGAAGAAGCCCCGGCUAACUUCGUGCCAGCAGCCGCGGUAAUACGAAGGGGGCUAGCGUUGCUCGGAAUUACUGGGCGUAAAGGGCGCGUAGGCGGACAGUUUAGUCAGAGGUGAAAGCCCAGGGCUCAACCUUGGAAUUGCCUUUGAUACUGGCUGUCUUGAGUACGGGAGAGGUGAGUGGAACUCCGAGUGUAGAGGUGUAAUUCGUAGAUAUUCGGAAGAACACCAGUGGCGAAGGCGACUCACUGGCCCGUUACUGACGCUGAGGCGCGAAAGCGUGGGGAGCAAACAGGAUUAGAUACCCGAGUAGUCC